rnacentral:tRNA from 1 species
GGACUCUAAGCUAAUCUGGUGAAAGCGCAGGACUGAAAAUCCUGAGAGGUUGGAUCGUAACCAACAGAGUCCA